GUUAGUCAUAUAAGUAAAAAGUGUAUUAAUAUAACAGUGUUGGUUUUGCAAAAAACUAGGGAAUGGGUAAUAAAGGGAUUAUCUAUCUUUUUAAACAACAAAAAUUCUGGUGUUGACUGUCCCUUUAAGGAUCCAAGGAAGAGGCUGGAGAGAUCCCUUUGAGGGGCGCAGGAUAAACUCCUAGACAUUUCUGGCCCUUUGGCUCAAAUUCUUCUUCUUGCCGACGAGGCUCAUCUUUCCGGCUCCUCUCUGGAUCCUUCCAUGGUCAGAGAUUGGGAUUUUAGAGCCUUUUAUUUAUUGGAUAACGCCAAUGCGGCUAUCUCCAGUGAAAGACGUAGAGCUGCGUUACUACGCAUUGACCCCAAAUUAGCUGUGCUAGUUACUGAAGAGGCAGGCUCUCAAGGCAAAGGCCUGUUAUUCAGAGAUCCUUUUCUCACUAUUAUGAGGCAUUAUGUUUCAACUUUUACCUCGAUUGACAAAAUCCAGGCCUUUCUCAGGAAAGUUUUUCAACCCAGACGGGUUUUUACCAGGGACGGCAGAUACAGAGGUCGUCUGCCCGGCCGCCAAAAUUUUGGCCAACGCCAAUUCAUGGACCUCAAUCAACCUCAGUACCCACCGGGAUACUACCCACCGGGAUUUUACAACAGAGCCUUGUUUCCGUUCAGAGCUAGACCUGCGGGACACAGACGAUCGGCCACAUGAAUCCUUCCGGCCCUUCCUAACACCAACCAAGAUACAAAGUAAAUAAAGAAAUAAAGCCAAGAAAAUUCCUCUGAUUAUUGGUGCUAUGGACUUUUGUUGUUGUGGUUAAACUGAGAGGCGUUUGCAGUGGCCUCCUACCACAUGCAUCAGCCUGAUUUUUAAACAUAUCUACCCAAGCCUUGCAAGAAAAUACAGAACUUAUCUCAGCUGUGCCCCUGCUUUGCAAAAAGCCUGAUUUUUAAACAUAUCUACCCAAGCCUUGCAAGAAAAUACAGAACUUAUCUCAGCUGUGCCCCUGCUUUGCAAAAAGCCUGAUUUUUAAACAUAUCUACCCAAGCCUUGCAAGAAAAUACAGAACUUAUCUCAGCUGUGCCCCUGCUUUGCAAAAAGCCUGACUUUUAAACAUAUCUACCCAAGCCUUGCAAGAAAAUACAGAACUUAUCUCAGCUGUGCCCCUGCUUUGCAAAAAGCCUGAUUUUUAAACAUAUCUACCCAAGCCUUGCAAGAAAAUACAGAACUUAUCUUAGCUGUGACCCUGCUUUGCAAAAAGCCUGAUUUUUAAACAUAUCUACCCAAGCCUUGCAAGAAAAUACAGAACUUAUCUCAGCUGUGCCCCUGCUUUGCAAAAAGCCUGAUUUUUAAACAUAUCUACCCAAGCCUUGCAAGAAAAUACAGAACUUAUCUCAGCUGUGCCCCUGCUUUGCAAAAAGCCUGAUUUUUAAACAUAUCUACCCAAGCCUUGCAAGAAAAUACAGAACUUAUCUCAGCUGUGCCCCUGCUUUGCAAAAAGCCUGAUUUUUAAACAUAUCUACCCAAGCCUUGCAAGAAAAUACAGAACUUAUCUCAGCUGUGCCCCUGCUUUGCAAAAAGCCUGAUUUUUAAACAUAUCUACCCAAGCCUUGCAAGAAAAUACAGAACUUAUCUCAGCUGUGCCCCUGCUUUGCAAAAAGCCAGAUUUUUAAACAUAUCUACCCAAGCCUUGCAAGAAAAUACAGAACUUAUCUCAGCUGUGCCCCUGCUUUGCAAAAAGCCUGAUUUUUAAACAUAUCUACCCAAGCCUUGCAAGAAAAUACAGAACUUAUCUCAGCUGUGCCCCUGCUUUGCAAAAAGCCUGAUUUUUAAACAUAUCUACCCAAGCCUUGCAAGAAAAUACAGAACUUAUCUCAGCUGUGCCCCUGCUUUGCAAAA